rnacentral:rRNA from 1 species
AGCAGCCGCCACGGUAAAACGUAGGGUGCAAGCGUUGAUCGGAAUUACUGGGCGUAAAGCGUGCGCAGGCGGUUAUAUAAGACAGAUGUGAAAUCCCCGGGCUCAACCUGGGAACUGCAUUUGUGACUGUAUAGCUAGAGUACGGCAGAGGGGGAUGGAAUUCCGCGUGUAGCAGUGAAAUGCGUAGAUAUGCGGAGGAACACCGAUGGCGAAGGCAAUCCCCUGGGCCUGUACUGACGCUCAUGCACGAAAGCGUGGGGAGCAAACAGGAUUAGAUACCCCCGUAGUCCCUGUCUCUUAUAC